AUCUAAAUAGCUUAUGGAGAGCAUGGCACUGAAGAUGCUAGGGAGAUAAAUAUAUCUUUAGAUA
rnacentral:tRNA from 1 species